rnacentral:rRNA from 1 species
GAGAACUCGGGUGAAGGAACUAGGCAAAAUGGUACCGUAACUUCGGGAGAAGGUACGCUCUCGACGGUGAAGUCCCUCGCGGAUGGAGCUAUUGAGAGUCGCAGAUACCAGGUGGCUGCAACUGUUUAUUAAAAACACAGCACUGUGCAAAAUCGUAAGAUGACGUAUACGGUGUGACGCCUGCCCGGUGCCGGAAGGUUAAUUGAUGGGGUUAGACUUCGGUCGAAGCUCUUGAUCGAAGCCCCGGUAAACGGCGGCCGUAACUAUAACGGUCCUAAGGUAGCGAAAUUCCUUGUCGGGUAAGUUCCGACCUGCACGAAUGGCGUAAUGAUGGCCACGCUGUCUCCACCCGAGACUCAGUGAAAUUGAAAUCGCUGUGAAGAUGCAGUGUACCCGCGGCUAGACGGAAAGACCCCGUGAACCUUUACUACAGCUUGGCACUGAACAUUGACCCUACAUGUGUAGGAUAGGUGGGAGGCUUUGAAGCACGUACGCCAGUAUGUGUGGAGCCGUCCUUGAAAUACCACCCUUGUAGUGUUGAUGUUCUAACGUCGACCCCUAAUCGGGGUUGCGGACAGUGCCUGGUGGGUAGUUUGACUGGGGCGGUCUCCUCCCAAAGAGUAACGGAGGAGCACGAAGGUGGGCUAAUCACGGUUGGACAUCGUGAGGUUAGUGCAAUGGCAUAAGCCCGCUUGACUGCGAGAAUGACAAUUCGAGCAGGUGCGAAAGCAGGUCAUAGUGAUCCGGUGGUUCUGAAUGGAAGGGCCAUCGCUCAACGGAUAAAAGGUACUCCGGGGAUAACAGGCUGAUACCGCCCAAGAGUUCAUAUCGACGGCGGUGUUUGGCACCUCGAUGUCGGCUCAUCACAUCCUGGGGCUGAAGUCGGUCCCAAGGGUAUGGCUGUUCGCCAUUUAAAGUGGUACGCGAGCUGGGUUUAGAACGUCGUGAGACAGUUCGGUCCCUAUCUGCCGUGGGCGUUGGAAGAUUGAAGGGGGCUGCUCCUAGUACGAGAGGACCGGAGUGGACGAACCUCUGGUGUUCGGGUUGUGUCGCCAGACGCAUUGCCCGGUAGCUAAGUUCGGAAUCGAUAACCGCUGAAAGCAUCUAAGCGGGAAGCGAGCCCUGAGAUGAGUCUUCCCUGAUACUUUAAGUAUCCUAAAGGGUUGUCGGAGACUACGACGUUGAUAGGUCAGGUGUGUAAGUGCUGUGAGGCAUUGAGCUAACUGAUACUAAUUGCCCGUGAGGCUUAACCAUACAACACCCAAGGGGUUU